AAACACCUCAUUUGUACAAAAUCUUGCUUCUUCUCUUCUUCUACCAAAUCAACAAGCAUAUUCCUAAAAUUAAAAAACUAUUUGGACACACACUCUGUGCAUACGGAUGCCAUUCCGUCUACUAUACAAGCAUAUGUAUUCUAAGCUAGGAGCUUGAGCUUCUUGUUCUGCACUCUUCAUCCUCCUCCAUUUGUUAUCCAUGGAUGCCUUAAAACUUGUUCGGCGGAGAGCCUCUUGGAAACAUCUCUACAAAGCAUCCUCCUUAGCAGAUCUUUAACAGCCGACGACACGCCGUGGAAAGCUCUAACAGGAAACCUCAAGUUCCCUCUCAAAACCGCAUCAAAAAUCUCCUCUGCCGUUUCACCGUAGAACGGCGGAAAGCCGGCUAACAAAAUAUACAACACCACACCAGCACUCCAAAUAUCUACCUUCUCCCCGUACUCUCUCCCCACCAAAACCUCCGGCGCCACGUAGUACGGCGUCCCUACAACACCAUUAAUCAUCUCCCCCUCCAUAACCACCUCAGCGGAACCAAAAUCUGCUAACUUCACCGAAUUUAAAGAGUCGAGCAAAAUGUUAUCCGGCUUGAUGUCGCGGUGAACGACGCCGUACUUGUGGCAGUGGGAAACGGCUUUCAUCAGCUGUAUAAAGAGCAGUCUGGCCUCCGCCUCGGGAACAACGCCAUUAGAGAUGAUUAAAUUGUGAAGAUCUUGACCGGAGCACAAGUCCAUUACCAUGUGAAGGUACGAUUCGUCUUCAUAGAGGUUGUAGAGUUGGAUUACGUGAGGAUGAGGCGAGAGAAGGUGGAGAAUCUUUGGUUCGGAGAGAAGGCAUUGGGCGUCGAGGGAGUCACCGGAUGUAAGGCUCUUAUCGAUAGACUUGACGGCGAAAGAGUUACCAGUAGCACGAGAGGUACAUCUGAAAACGGUGCCGAAACGUCCACGGCCGAUCUCGUCACAGAUUAGGUAGUCUCUGUUUAAAGCUUCGCUCAUUGCUUUGCUCUGCUCUGUUUUUUGGGUUGGUUAUUUCUG
rnacentral:misc_RNA from 1 species